GAAAAGCAUGUAUUAGAGAAAAGUUCAACGUGUAUCAAAAAAUGCUACGUGUGUAUAAGAAAACUGUACAAUGUGUACUGAAAAUCAGACACGUGUUGAAAAGAGGAAAAGAAAAGGUAAAAAAUGAAAAACAAAAAACGAAAAAGAAAAAGGAAAAAGACGAAGAAAAUUGAUAAAGAGACACAAAAAACAAAAACAUC
rnacentral:lncRNA from 1 species